rnacentral:hammerhead_ribozyme from 1 species
AUCCAGUUGACGAAUCCUAAAUAGGACGAAACACGUGUCUUCGAU